GGUUAAGUUAGAAAGGGCGCACGGUGAAUGCCUUGGCACUAGGAGCCGAUGAAGGACGGGACUAACACCGAUAUGCUUCGGGGAGCUGUAAGUGAGCUUUGAUCCGGAGAUUUCCGAAUGGGGAAACCCACUGUUCGUAAUGGAACAGUAUCUUUAUCUGAAUACAUAGGAUAUUGAAGGCAGACCCGGGGAACUGAAACAUCUAAGUACCCGGAGGAAGAGAAAGCAAAUGCGAUUUCCUGAGUAGCGGCGAGCGAAACGGAAUUAGCCCAAACCAAGAGGCUUGCCUCUUGGGGUUGUAGGACACUCUAUACGGAGUUACAAAGGAACGAAGUAAAUGAAGCGACCUGGAAAGGUCCGUCGAAGAAGGUAACAACCCUGUAGUUGAAACUUCGUUCCCUCUUGAGUGGAUCCUGAGUACGGCGGAACACGUGAAAUUCCGUCGGAAGCUGGGAGGACCAUCUCCCAAGGCUAAAUACUACCUAGUGACCGAUAGUGAACCAGUACCGUGAGGGAAAGGUGAAAAGCACCCCGGAAGGGGAGUGAAAGAGAUCCUGAAACCGUGUGCCUACAAGUAGUCAGAGCCCGUUAAUGGGUGAUGGCGUGCCUUUUGUAGAAUGAACCGGCGAGUUACGAUCCCAUGCAAGGUUAAGCUGAUAAGGCGGAGCCGUAGCGAAAGCGAGUCUGAAUAGGGCGUUUAGUAUGUGGUUGUAGACCCGAAACCAGGUGAUCUACCCAUGUCCAGGGUGAAGUUCAGGUAACACUGAAUGGAGGCCCGAACCCACGCACGUUGAAAAGUGCGGGGAUGAGGUGUGGGUAGCGGAGAAAUUCCAAUCGAACCUGGAGAUAGCUGGUUCUCUCCGAAAUAGCUUUAGGGCUAGCCUCAUGUUGUGAGAGUCUUGGAGGUAGAGCACUGAUUGGACUAGGGGCCCCCAACGGGUUACCGAAUUCAGUCAAACUCCGAAUGCCAAAGACUUAUCCAUGGGAGUCAGACUGCGAGUGAUAAGAUCCGUAGUCAAAAGGGAAACAGCCCAGACCACCAGCUAAGGUCCCCAAGUAUACGUUAAGUGGAAAAGGAUGUGGAGUUGCUUAGACAACCAGGAUGUUGGCUUAGAAGCAGCCACCAUUUAAAGAGUGCGUAAUAGCUCACUGGUCGAGUGACUCUGCGCCGAAAAUGUACCGGGGCUAAACGUAUCACCGAAGCUGUGGAUUGACAUCUUAGAUGUCAGUGGUAGGAGAGCGUUCUAAGUGCUGUGAAGUCAGACCGUAAGGACUGGUGGAGCGCUUAGAAGUGAGAAUGCCGGUAUGAGUAGCGAAAGACAAGUGAGAAUCUUGUCCACCGAAUGCCUAAGGUUUCCUGAGGAAGGCUCGUCCGCUCAGGGUUAGUCGGGACCUAAGCCGAGGCUGAAAAGCGUAGGCGAUGGCCAACAGGUUGAUAUUCCUGUACCACCUCCCCGCCGUUUGAGUAAUGGGGGGACGCAGUAGGAUAGGGUAAGCGCGCUGCUGGAUAUGCGCGUUCAAGCAGUUAGGCUGAUGAGUAGGCAAAUCCGCUCAUCAUAAAGGCUGAGCUGUGAUGACGAGGGAAUUAUAGUACUGAAGUUCCUGAUUCCACACUGCCAAGAAAAGCCUCUAGCGAGGCGGGAGGUGCCCGUACCGCAAACCGACACAGGUAGGCGAGGAGAGAAUCCUAAGGUGAUCGAGAGAACUCUCGUUAAGGAACUCGGCAAAAUGACCCCGUAACUUCGGGAGAAGGGGUGCUCUGGUAGGGUGUAUAGCCCGAGAGAGCCGCAGUGAAUAGGCCCAGGCGACUGUUUAGCAAAAACACAGGUCUCUGCGAAGCCGCAAGGCGAAGUAUAGGGGCUGACGCCUGCCCGGUGCUGGAAGGUUAAGAGGAGGGGUUAUCCUUUGGGAGAAGCUCUGAAUCGAAGCCCCAGUAAACGGCGGCCGUAACUAUAACGGUCCUAAGGUAGCGAAAUUCCUUGUCGGGUAAGUUCCGACCCGCACGAAAGGCGUAACGAUCUGGGCACUGUCUCAACGAGAGACUCGGUGAAAUUAUAGUACCUGUGAAGAUGCAGGUUACCCGCGACAGGACGGAAAGACCCCGUGGAGCUUUACUGUAGCCUGAUAUUGAAUUUUGGUACAGCUUGUACAGGAUAGGUAGGAGCCUGAGAAGCCGGAGCGCUAGCUUCGGUGGAGGCGUCGGUGGGAUACUACCCUGGCUGUAUUGAAAUUCUAACCCGCGGCCCUGAUCGGGCCGGGAGACAGUGUCAGGUGGGCAGUUUGACUGGGGCGGUCGCCUCCUAAAAUGUAACGGAGGCGCCCAAAGGUUCCCUCAGAAUGGUUGGAAAUCAUUCGUAGAGUGUAAAGGCACAAGGGAGCUUGACUGCGAGACCUACAAGUCGAGCAGGGACGAAAGUCGGGCUUAGUGAUCCGGUGGUUCCGCAUGGAAGGGCCAUCGCUCAACGGAUAAAAGCUACCCCGGGGAUAACAGGCUUAUCUCCCCCAAGAGUCCACAUCGACGGGGAGGUUUGGCACCUCGAUGUCGGCUCAUCGCAUCCUGGGGCUGUAGUCGGUCCCAAGGGUUGGGCUGUUCGCCCAUUAAAGCGGUACGCGAGCUGGGUUCAGAACGUCGUGAGACAGUUCGGUCCCUAUCCGUCGUGGGCGUAGGAAAUUUGAGAGGAGCUGUCCUUAGUACGAGAGGACCGGGAUGGACACACCGCUGGUGUACCAGUUGUCUUGCCAAAGGCAUCGCUGGGUAGCUAUGUGUGGACGGGAUAAGUGCUGAAAGCAUCUAAGCAUGAAGCCCCCCUCAAGAUGAGAUUUCCCAUAGCGCAAGCUAGUAAGAUCCCUGAAAGAUGAUCAGGUUGAUAGGUCAGAGGUGGAAGCGUGGCGACAUGUGUAGCUGACUGAUACUAAUCGAUCGAGGACUUAACCAA
rnacentral:rRNA from 1 species